rnacentral:lncRNA from 1 species
GACUCAAAUAAUAUUCAUAGAUAAUCUGAUCAUAAAUCCAUAAUUCAUCGGAUCUUGACAAACACACCGCAAAAGAAAAUUACAUCGGAUAGAUCUCCAUGAAGAUCAUGGAGAACUGUCGGGGGAAUGAUCCCCAGGUACCCCAAAGACGCAGAGUCGAGCGGGGUGCCUGCCCGCCCAGGCCGGCUGCUCCCAUUCCUCCCACGGACGGCUCCUCUGACUAGCCGGCUACGCCAGCCAGACGGCUGCCCGGAGUCAACUACGACAUCCCUCCGGGCAUCGUACUAUUUCAUCUACAGUGUAACUUGUCCCCUGGGCGCUGGUUUAUAAAGUGCCCCAGGGGACAAGCAUAGCUUAGCUCCAAAGCUACAUAUAGCUUGGCAUGUAAGCUACCCACGAUAGCCUACAUGCCAAGUAGCUUGGGAUGUAAGCUACCCACCGUAGCUUACAUACCAAGCUACGCAUCCAUACAAAAGGCCUUAGGCUGCCCUCUCAUCCUCUCAAGCUCUCAACCCCCCACAUACACACACCCAGACAUGAGGCCAAGGAGAAGGCGCUCAGCUCCCUUCCUCCUCCAAUACAGCUCCGGGAGCAACCUUGUACUGCCAAUAUACGUCAUAUACACACAUGCAGGAGUAGGGGUAUUAUCUCUCUAGAGAGCCCCGAACCUGGGUAAACCACCGCAUGUUAUUACCCUAUCCCGUCCCGGAUCCUCCACGACAGCCUUGCCCUCACCUCGAUUAGCCAUCCCAUGGAAUAUGCCGUCAGGGUACCCCAUAUAUGAAAACAACGACAUUUGGCGCCCACCAUGGGGCCAGCUGCUGCUGGAACCGCGGUCCGGGCGAGACCCUCUUCAUCAUCACCACCGCGACGUCGCCGCCAUCUCUCCGGCGUUGCUCGAGGGCUCGACAUCGGCACGCCCCCGGCGCACCGUGCAGGGUGGCGCGUUCGUGUCAUUCGCCUUCGGACCGCUCCUGCGAUCGUCGGCUCCCUCUCCAGGCCAGUCGAUGUUCCGUAUAUUGGCUCCAUUCCGCCUUCCCACGCUCCCGCGGAUGGCUCCCCGCACACGUCCGCUGGCCGGCUGGGCGUGCAUGUAUCUGGUGGCUGCAUGGGUUGGGCGCAUGUAUGCGCGUACGGCUGGAUGUUUGGCAUGCUUUGGCUGGCUGAACUAGCCGGCUAUCCUGGCCAUUGCAUGCUUAAGUCUAGUCAUCCGGCUCCGUCCACCACUCUGCCUGCGUGUUGCCGGUUCGCGUCGUUGCCGACUCGGCCACCUACGGCUGUGCCCCGGGCGCCGGCUCCACACCCACGUUUGCCACCAUGGCGCCCGGCCUCCACACCACCCUGGUGCAGCCCCGGCUGCGCCCCCGAGCACGCCUCAGCUCCGCCUCAGCGCGUUGUCGGCUCCUCUCCCCCGCGCCAUCGAUCGUUGUCGCGCCUUUCGCCGGCUCCGGCCACGCCCCCGUCGGCUCCGACCGUCCAUAUGUCGGCUCGUAACCGGAUGGCGCAAGAGGGAGUUGGUCGUCCAAGUCUGGCUUAGGCGGAUAAAGCAAUGAAAGUAAAGAAGUAUGAUGCAUGCAUGGACGUGAUGUGUGGUGCGGGCAUGGCUCUCAUGCGUGCGUAGCCUACGUGGCCAGCGAGCUCUGGCCGACUGCAUGGCCUGGCCGGCCGGCUGUGUGCUCGCCUGCCUGGCCGGCUGCCCGUUUGAUCGGGUGCAGGCCUGGCCGGCGGUGCUACAUACGUGCACGGCCCGACCUCACGGAGGGUCUCCUCCGCGCCUCCGUCGGGCUAGCUCCGACCACCGUCAGCCGCGCACCGGCUCGCCGUUCAGGCCGGCCUUCACACGCUGGUCCGUGCGCACGCUGGCCCCGCCCGCACCGCCUCGUUCCUUCAGCUCUGUGAUCGCGGACCGCUCCUCUACUACAACUAUUGGCUCUGUGAGCCGGCUAGAAGAAAAAAAUAUGGAGUGGGCGCCGGACCGACUCGGGUCGUCUGUCUACUUCGACACAGGGCUGACUCCGAUUGCCCGUCUACUUCGACGCCGGGCCGAUUCAGGUCGCCCAUCUGCUUCAACAACGGGCCGACUCCGAUCGCCCAUCUUCUUUGACUCCCGGCGUGCUGGCAUAACCACCGACCGCCAGAGACUCGGCGGCUACAUCCAGCAGGUGCCCCGACGCGCUCCGUUGGGAAAAGGCUACAACAACAGCCUUGCCGACUUCAAAAAAACAAUGUGAUAUGUUCAUCCACAUAUUUUUACACCAUGCACAGAAUAUGGAUACCCCGAGCGACCCUCGGAGGCCAUCCCUGCAUCUGUUUCAGUUGCUUUACUGUUCACCCCGGUGCGAGCUAGUCUCGGCCCGGGGUUGGCCGUUUGGCCCGAUACGUUUGUUUCCACGGGACGACUUAGUAGCAUGUACGGUACCGAAGGCCCACUCUUUGUCUCAGCUACAGACCGCACCCCGGCUGUCCGGCUAGCGAGAGCAAAAGCCGGAGGUCACCACACGCGAAAAACGCCCAGGGAGAAGACGGCUUGGGCGACACGGUCGUUUCAUUUGUGAGUAUCUGCUCGGUCGAGUGUGCUCCCAGAGUCCGAGUACUGUACGCACCAUUCCACAGCCCAAUCUUCGCCUCAGCUACAGACCGGCUCGCUGCUGUCCGGCUAGCUAGAGCAAAAGCCAAAGAGCGGGGAGAACAUGAAAAAGACUUAAGGGGGCUCGGUUGAAACCGAGCCGACGCCCUUUGCACAAACUUGCACUCCCAAAACCAAAUAUUAGACAUGUCUGCGUCGAUUAACCUUGUCUUUUGCAUGAUCAUCUUGGCGGGAACCUCCCAUCACCCCGCUGGUUGGAGCUCGGCCGACCUCCGGCCGCUGGCUACUCCUGUCCGGCUAGGGCAUUGCCGGCUAUGGCACGUAGCCAGCCAACAUCAUCAACAUCUGCUACAACAAUAGCAAGAAGCCUCUGCAAGACUCUCCAAGUUGCCCAGAGGCUUGGAGGCUACACCCAGCGGGUGCGCUUGCGCGCCCCCGAUGGAAACAGUCAGACGAUGGACUCUGCGUCCGUGCUCGGCAGCGCCUCGCACGCACCAGCCAGCGGACCCCGCGUCCGCGCCCGGCAGCGCCUCGCGCGCACCAGUCGGCGGACAUUGCGUCUGCGCCCGACAUCCCCGAUGCUACCGUCUACUCCAACAACAGCAAAGACCCUCCGCCCAACUCUUCGAGUCGCCCGGAGGCCCGGAGGCAACACCCAGCGGGUGCGCUGGCGCGCCCCCGCUGAAAACAAGCCACGCCCUCCCUAUUGUAAAAGAACACAUAGUGUAAGUUGGCUGAUCCCUGGUCACCCCGUACGAGCUUGCGGACUGGCUCCGGCCGUCUGGCUUGCGAGGUGACGCCAGGUAAGGCCGGAUGCAUGCAAAGUUCGGCUACAAAGGGUCGCCGGCCGGGGCUCGGAGGCUACGCAGCGCACACCCCUUGCUGGCUUUAACAUGCUCGGGGGCUCGCUGGCCGCUCGGACGCCCUCCCUAUUGUAAAAGAACACAUAGUUUAAGCCCACUGAUCCCUGGUCACCCUGUACGAGCUUGCGGACUGGCUCCGGUGGUCUGGCUUGCGAGGUGACGCCAGGUAAGGCCGGACGCAUGCAAAGUUCGGCUACAAAGGGUCGCCGGCUUGGGCUCGGAGGCUACGCAGCGCACGCCCCUUGCUGGCUUUAACAAGCUCGAGUUGGAGCGCCCACGCUGAAAACAAGCCACGCCGUCCCCGGCUUGCAAUCGACUGUCAUCAACAACUUCCGCCUCCCAUUGCGGGCACGGCCGGCUCCUCUGACCAGCCGGCUACGCCAGCCAGACGGCUGCCCGGAGUCAACUACGACGUCCCCCCGGGCAUCGUACUG